UCUUUCAAUCAAAACUUUCACUCGGACACUUUAACAAACAAUUGAUGGGCAUGAAAAACUUCAGCAAAUUUUGAUAAAUUGUCCCUAGAACCCACCCCAAAAUUAUCAGAAAUGCCCAGCAAUUCAACCCAAUCAAUACACAAAACAUGUAUGUUUUGAAAUUCACGAACAAACAACAAGAAAAGCAGCACGGCACAAAGGUACGGCAGCCAUAUUCUGAAAAUUUCUAGCGGCCUAUGUGUGAGGGAAAACUGAAUUGUAAAUAAAAGGGAUGACUUACGGUGACCUGCGAGUGGCGGUGCUGGAUUCAGACGAGCAGUAGCGGAUGCAGACUGGUGGUUCCGGCUACUCUUCAACCGCAAGCCUCUUCGUCCACCGCCAUCCCUCUUCUCUCUGUUUUUUG
rnacentral:lncRNA from 1 species